AUGAACGCUGGCGGCGUGCCUAAUACAUGCAAGUCGAGCGAACAGAUGAGGAGCUUGCUCCUCUGACGUUAGCGGCGGACGGGUGAGUAACCCGUGGAUAACCUACCUAUAAGACUGGGAUAACUUCGGGAAACCGGAGCUAAUACCGGAUAAUAUAUUGAACCGCAUGGUUCAAUAGUGAAAGACGGUUUUGCUGUCACUUAUAGAUGGAUCCGCGCCGCAUUAGCUAGUUGGUAAGGUAACGGCUUACCAAGGCAACGAUGCGUAGCCGACCUGAGAGGGUGAUCGGCCACACUGGAACUGAGACACGGUCCAGACUCCUACGGGAGGCAGCAGUAGGGAAUCUUCCGCAAUGGGCGAAAGCCUGACGGAGCAACGCCGCGUGAGUGAUGAAGGUCUUCGGAUCGGAAAACUCUGUUAUUAGGGAAGAACAAAUGUGUAAGUAACUAUGCACGUCUUGACGGUACCUAAUCAGAAAGCCACGGCUAACUACGUG
rnacentral:rRNA from 1 species